GAUGAACGCUGGCGGCGUGCCUAAUACAUGCAAGUCGAGCGAACGGACGAGAAGCUUGCUUCUCUGAUGUUAGCGGCGGACGGGUGAGUAACACGUGGAUAACCCACCUAUAAGACUGGGAUAACUUCGGGAAACCGGAGCUAAUACCGGAUAAUAUUUUGAACCGCAUGGUUCAAAAGUGAAAGACGGUCUUGCUGUCACUUAUAGAUGGAUCCGCGCUGCAUUAGCUAGUUGGUAAGGUAACGGCUUACCAAGGCAACGAUGCAUAGCCGACCUGAGAGGGUGAUCGGCCACACUGGAACUGAGACACGGUCCAGACUCCUACGGGAGGCAGCAGUAGGGAAUCUUCCGCAAUGGGCGAAAGCCUGACGGAGCAACGCCGCGUGAGUGAUGAAGGUCUUCGGAUCGUAAAACUCUGUUAUUAGGGAAGAACAUAUGUGUAAGUAACUGUGCACAUCUUGACGGUACCUAAUCAGAAAGCCACGGCUAACUACGUGCCAGCAGCCGCGGUAAUACGUAGGUGGCAAGCGUUAUCCGGAAUUAUUGGGCGUAAAGCGCGCGUAGGCGGUUUUUUAAGUCUGAUGUGAAAGCCCACGGCUCAACCGUGGAGGGUCAUUGGAAACUGGAAAACUUGAGUGCAGAAGAGGAAAGUGGAAUUCCAUGUGUAGCGGUGAAAUGCGCAGAGAUAUGGAGGAACACCAGUGGCGAAGGCGACUUUCUGGUCUGUAACUGACGCUGAUGUGCGAAAGCGUGGGGAUCAAACAGGAUUAGAUACCCUGGUAGUCCACGCCGUAAACGAUGAGUGCUAAGUGUUAGGGGGUUUCCGCCCCUUAGUGCUGCAGCUAACGCAUUAAGCACUCCGCCUGGGGAGUACGACCGCAAGGUUGAAACUCAAAGGAAUUGACGGGGACCCGCACAAGCGGUGGAGCAUGUGGUUUAAUUCGAAGCAACGCGAAGAACCUUACCAAAUCUUGACAUCCUUUGACAACUCUAGAGAUAGAGCUUUCCCCUUCGGGGGACAAAGUGACAGGUGGUGCAUGGUUGUCGUCAGCUCGUGUCGUGAGAUGUUGGGUUAAGUCCCGCAACGAGCGCAACCCUUAAGCUUAGUUGCCAUCAUUAAGUUGGGCACUCUAAGUUGACUGCCGGUGACAAACCGGAGGAAGGUGGGGAUGACGUCAAAUCAUCAUGCCCCUUAUGAUUUGGGCUACACACGUGCUACAAUGGACAAUACAAAGGGCAGCGAAACCGUGAGGUCAAGCAAAUCCCAUAAAGUUGUUCUCAGUUCGGAUUGUAGUCUGCAACUCGACUACAUGAAGCUGGAAUCGCUAGUAAUCGUAGAUCAGCAUGCUACGGUGAAUACGUUCCCGGGUCU
rnacentral:rRNA from 1 species